AGAGUUCGAUCCUGGCUCAGGAUGAACGCUGGCGGCGCGCCUAACACAUGCAAGUCGAACGGCACCCACCUUCGGGUGGAAGCGAGUGGCGAACGGCUGAGUAACACGUGGAGAACCUGCCCCCUCCCCCGGGAUAGCCGCCCGAAAGGACGGGUAAUACCGGAUACCCCGGGGUGCCGCAUGGCACCCCGGCUAAAGCCCCGACGGGAGGGGAUGGCUCCGCGGCCCAUCAGGUAGACGGCGGGGUGACGGCCCACCGUGCCGACAACGGGUAGCCGGGUUGAGAGACCGACCGGCCAGAUUGGGACUGAGACACGGCCCAGACUCCUACGGGAGGCAGCAGUGGGGAAUCUUGCGCAAUGGGGGGAACCCUGACGCAGCGACGCCGCGUGCGGGACGGAGGCCUUCGGGUCGUAAACCGCUUUCAGCAGGGAAGAGUCAAGACUGUACCUGCAGAAGAAGCCCCGGCUAACUACGUGCCAGCAGCCGCGGUAAUACGUAGGGGGCGAGCGUUAUCCGGAUUCAUUGGGCGUAAAGCGCGCGUAGGCGGCCCGGCAGGCCGGGGGUCGAAGCGGGGGGCUCAACCCCCCGAAGCCCCCGGAACCUCCGCGGCUUGGGUCCGGUAGGGGAGGGUGGAACACCCGGUGUAGCGGUGGAAUGCGCAGAUAUCGGGUGGAACACCGGUGGCGAAGGCGGCCCUCUGGGCCGAGACCGACGCUGAGGCGCGAAAGCUGGGGGAGCGAACAGGAUUAGAUACCCUGGUAGUCCCAGCCGUAAACGAUGGGCGCUAGGUGUGGGGGGACAGUCCCCCCGUGCCGCAGCCAACGCAUUAAG
rnacentral:rRNA from 1 species